GAUGAAGAACGUAGCGAAAUGCGAUAGGUAAUGCGAAUUGCAGAAUUCAGUGAGUCAUCGAAUCUUUGAACGCACAUUGCGCCCUGUGGUAUUCCGCAGGGCAUGCCUGUUCGAGCGUCAUUUCAACCCUCAAGCUCUGCUUGGUGUUGGGCCCUGCCCGCUGCGGCCGGCCCUAAAGACAGUGGCGGUGCCGCCUGGCCCUGAGCGUAGUACAUCUCUCGCUCCAGUGCCCGGUGGUAGCCUGCCAGAACCCCAACUCUCGUGGUUGACCUCGGAUCAGGUAGGGAUACCCGCUGAACUUAAGCAUAUCAAUAAGCGGAGGA
rnacentral:misc_RNA from 1 species